rnacentral:rRNA from 1 species
UACGGGGGGAGCAAGCGUUGUUCGGAUUUACUGGGCGUAAAGGGCGCGUAGGCGGUCAGCACAAGUCAGUUGUGAAAUCUCCGGGCUUAACUCGGAAAGGUCAACUGAUACUGUGCGACUAGAGUGCGGAAGGGGCAACUGGAAUUCUUGGUGUAGCGGUGAAAUGCGCAGAUAUCAGGAGGAACACCGGUGGCGAAGGCGGGUCUCUGGGCCGUAACUGACGCUGAGGAGCGAAAGCAUGGGGAGCGAACAGG